CAUUACCGAGUUUACAACUCCCAAACCCCUGUGAACAUACCUAUACGUUGCCUCGGCGGAUCAGCCCGCGCCCCGUAAAACGGGACGGCCCGCCCGAGGACCCUAAACUCUGUUUUUAGUGGAACUUCUGAGUAAAACAAACAAAUAAAUCAAAACUUUCAACAACGGAUCUCUUGGUUCUGGCAUCGAUGAAGAACGCAGCAAAAUGCGAUAAGUAAUGUGAAUUGCAGAAUUCAGUGAAUCAUCGAAUCUUUGAACGCACAUUGCGCCCGCCAGUAUUCUGGCGGGCAUGCCUGUUCGAGCGUCAUUUCAACCCUCAAGCUCAGCUUGGUGUUGGGACUCGCGGUAACCCGCGUUCCCCAAAUCGAUUGGCGGUCACGUCGAGCUUCCAUAGCGUAGUAAUCAUACACCUCGUUACUGGUAAUCGUCGCGGCCACGCCGUAAAACCCCAACUUCUGAAUGUUGACCUCGGAUCAGGUAGGAAUACCCGCUGAACUUAAGCAUAUCAA
rnacentral:rRNA from 1 species